GCUGUGAUGGAAGAGUAUGGCACAGACAGACCUCUAGUUCUCUCAGCGGAGUUAUGAGUCUGGUUAAGUGUUGGGAAUGGAGCCUUGCUGCAAGCAACAAGGCUCCAUCUUGAAAGGUCAUAACCGGUUUGUUCCUUUGUCUUACACUUCCCAACCUCUAAAAUGUUAACUUUUUAAUUGUUUUGUUUCGUUUGUUUGGUUUUUGAGACAUUUUGUUUCUCUGUGUAGCGCUGGCUACAUGACUGGAGUUUGAAAGAAUCUUAUGGUGAACUGUGGUGAAACCAUGACAACAGCAGCAUGGGGAGGAGAGUAAAAUAAACACGGACAUAUUGUUGGUUUGAAAUGCACAAUGAAGAGAAAUAAAAGCAGAAAGAUCUCCAGAAAGAAUCCAUGAUGAGAUUCAAGGUUUCACAGUCCAAGCUAAUGUCCGUGGAAACUUUCAGUGACCCAAGAACAUUGCACUCCUGGCAAAAGAAGUGUGGCAACACUAAGGCAAGUAUCUGCUUGAACAGAAAGAUGAUACAGAAAUACAGAAUGCAGGAGGAAGGAAUAGGAAGGACCCAACAAACUUGA
rnacentral:lncRNA from 1 species